AGAAUCAACGCUGGCGGCGUGCCUAACACAUGCAAGUCGCACGAGAAAGGGGAGCAAUCCCUGAGUACAGUGGCGCACGGGUGAGUAACACGUGAAUAAUCUACCUCCGAGUGGGGAAGUAACUGAGAGAAAUCUUAGCUAAUACCGCAUAACACUUACGAGUCAAAGCAGCAAUGCGCUUGGAGAGGAGUUCGCGGCCGAUUAGUUAGUUGGCGGGGUAAUGGCCCACCAAGACGAUGAUCGGUA
rnacentral:rRNA from 1 species